rnacentral:rRNA from 1 species
AUGUGUGGUAACAUAGUUGCCUUCAUUUAUUACUUUGUAGACUCAUUAUGCAUUGGAAACCGCUAUGUGAUGGUUACAUAUUAUGUUACUCUAUUUGCGUCUCUCCUCAUUAACUACUUGCCACAUCACCAAUUUUGCUUAUGUGGCAUCUAUAUUACUACCUAUGUUACUCCCACUAUGACCAGCCUUAGGCCUUCCUUUAUAAAGGGAAAAAGAGGUUCUCCCAUAUAUAUAUAUUUUUCUAGCGAAACUAGUUUUGUAAAAAUUGCUCUGUUGUGUGUGUAUAUAUUGUAUUCUCGUGUAUUUCUUCUCUUAGGCCUUUUUUGUCCAACGAUACUUUUGAUGACCCAACUUUAA